rnacentral:rRNA from 1 species
UGAAAUAACCCAUUAAAGCGCAGCAAAGCAGAGCCUAUCUCUCGUACCUUUUGCAUCAUGAUUCAGCAAGUUUACUCAAGCGAAGAGCACUCUAGUUUGCACUCCCGAAACUUGACGAGCUACUCCAAGACAGCCAACCAUGGGCUAACCCGUCUCUGUGGCAAAAGAGUGGGAAGAUCUUCGAGUAGAGGCAAAAAACCUACCGAGCCAAGUUAUAGCUGGUUGCCCAAUAAAUGAAUACAAGUUCAGCCCUGUCUAGCCCAACUCGCGCCAGUUUUACAAAGAAAGACGAAGAGCUUGCCGACAGGAGUUAAUCAGAGGAGGUACAGCUCCCCUGAUACAGGACACAACCUUUUUAGGAGGUAAAAGAGUAUUAUCAAACAAGGCCUUGAGUCUCAGUGGGCCUGAAAGCAGCCAUCUGAUGUGAAAGCGUUAAAGCUCCGACCUAAAAGAAGCCUAUUAUUAGAUCUUAAUUUCUGUUCCCCUAAACCUUAUUGAGCCCUUUCAUGCACCCAUGGAAGAGACUAUGCUGAAACGAGUAACAAGAAGAAUGAACUUCUCCACGCACAAGUGUAUGUCAAAUUGGACCAACCAUUGACAAUCAACGAACCCAGCAAAAGAGGGCCUUACCCACCCGUCACUUCUGACCAAGAAAAUCACGUUAUCCGGAGUCGUUACCCCAACACAGGAGUGCUAGAACAAGGAAAGACUUAAAGAAAAAAAAGGAACUCGGCAAACCCAGACCUCGCCUGUUUACCAAAAACAUCGCCUCUUGCACCCCAAAGUAUAAGAGGUCCCACCUGCCCUGUGACUCUAAGUUUAACGGCCGCGGUAUUCUAACCGUGCGAAGGUAGCGCAAUCAAUUGCCUUUUAAAUGAAGGCCUGUAUGAAUGGUAUAACGAGGGUCUAACUGUCUCUUUUUUCCAGUCAGUUAAACUGAUCUGUCCGUGCAGAAGCGGACAUUAUUAUACAAGACGAGAAGACCCUAUGGAGCUUUAGACACUAGCCAACUGCGAAUAAGCGAUCAGGCUGAAUAGAUCUCAAGUACCCGCAGUUCAUGACAACGUAGUCUUAGGUUGGGGCGACCACGGGAGAAAAUAAAGCUCCCAAGCAGACCGGGAAAACCCUUAAGCCAAGAGUUGCAACUCUAAGCCACAAAAAUUUUGACUGAAAUGAUCCGGUUGAACGACCGAUUAACGGACCAAGUUACCCUAGGGAUAACAGCGCAAUCCUCUCCCAGAGUCCCUAUCGACGAGAGGGUUUACGACCUCGAUGUUGGAUCAGGACAUCCUAAUGGUGCAGCCGCUAUUAA